CUAUGAUCAUUAUUUAUGACCAUAUUUAAUGGCGCCCCUUGGCGCCCCUCAAUAUUGUAUCUUUUUGGGGCUUUUAAAUCAUGAUAUUUCCUUUGCUAAUUUCAGGUCUUCUUGUCCAGAGUUCAUGUUCUCCCGCUAUUUUGGGGAAGCGUUCGUGCAUCCCAGAGUCCCAUACGCCAGGCAAACAAAAAACAAAGCGGCAAAGAAAUAAUAAACGCAAAAGAGAAGCAAAAAAACAUUUUCAAAUGGAAAAAAUAAUGUGUGUCAAAAUGAAAAAUGAGCAAGACCAAUGGCAGACUGUUGGACAACCGAAGAGGCGAAGAACAGACUUUAAUAAUGGGACUGUUUCAUAUUUGACAGGAUCAAGGACUGUCUGGUGGUGAAAAACCAUUUGUGCUUGUUGGAACUGUUUCUUGUAUUAUAGUCAGUUGGAGCAACUGGCAAUGACUCAGUAAACUUUUCCUUGGUUAAUUUUAGAUGUGUUAAAAUUUUUGCCAUUUCCACCAAGUUACCCA